CACACCGCCCGUCACAUCAUGAAAGCCGUUUGUACCCGAAGUCCACGUGCUAACCGCAAGGAGGCAGUGGCCGAAGGUAUGGAUGGUGAUUGGGGUG
rnacentral:rRNA from 1 species